UAACCGACUCUCGGCAACGGAUAUCUCGGCUCACGCAUCGAUGAAGAACGUAGCAAAAUGCGAUACUUGGUGUGAAUUGCAGAAUCCCGUGAACCAUCGAGUUUUUGAACGCAAGUUGCGCCCGAAGCCUUCUGGUUGAGGGCACGUCUGCCUGGGCGUCACGC
rnacentral:rRNA from 1 species